rnacentral:tRNA from 1 species
GGAGGAGUGCCAGAGCGGUCGAAUGGGGCAGUCUAGAAAACUGCUGUGCAGGCAACUGUACCGUGGGUUCGAAUCCCACCUCCUCCUCCA